CACUUUUGUUUUUGCCCCCAUUUUUUAUGAGAUGAACUCAAAGAUCUAAGACUUUUUCUAUGUACACAAAAGGCCUAUUUCUCUUAAUUAUUGUUCACAAAUCUUAGGUGGAUGGAUUAUCCCGGCAAAGGAGAAGUGCUCACUAACUCAGAUUUAGACAGAUUUGUGAGCAAUAUUUGAGAGAAAUAGGCCUUUGGUGUACAUAGAAAAAGUCUUAGAUCUUUGAGUUCAGCUCAUGAAAAAUGGGGGCAAAAACAAAAGUG